rnacentral:sRNA from 1 species
AUUAAAAUAGCUAAGAUUCUCGGAAGCGCAUCGAUUCC